UGGUGGCAGCAUUGUCCAAGUUGAUGCU
rnacentral:piRNA from 1 species